rnacentral:lncRNA from 1 species
AGAGGACCUUGUGUAAGCACUAUGUGAGGAAACAAGAAAACCUAGGGCCACAACAACUGGAUUCUCUUUUCUGAUUUUUGCUGCAGCUUCUGCUUUGUAAUCAUACGGACAGUUGUGCUUGUCAGAGUUAACGGUGAAGUCCACAAAACAAAUUUCCACAUCGGCAGUCAAACCUGUAAGACCAACUUUCUUUCUGCACAUGAAACAUCUGUUUUUCUUUGGUUUGGGCAAUUCAGGAGCUUUUUCUUUACUCUGAGAAGUACUGGGCUGAAAAACUGAUGGGCUGGGCUGAGUGACAACUGGCUCUCACACCUCUGUUUUCGGGGUAGUUAUUUUGUCCUCUGUUGAAAUGCUCAUUUCUGUCAUUUGCUGAGUUACAGGCAAGGCAGCCGCAGGCACAUUUCUUGAUUUUUCAGAUGUGCUGC